rnacentral:sRNA from 1 species
CACCACCAUGCCUGGCUACGUUUUUGUUCUUUUAGAGGCAGGGACUCGUUAUGUUGUCCAGGCUGGUCUCGAACUCCUGAGCUCAAGUAAUCCUUCCACCUCAGCCUCCCAAGUAGCUGGGAUUACAGGCACGCGCCACCACGCCCAGCUAAAAGUAUUUUUAAUGCAAAAUAUUCAAUCCUUGCCUCAGAGAUUCUGAUUCAGUUGAUCUCAAGGCCAGGAAUCUUUUUUCACAAGCAACCCAGAGGAUUCUAAAGAUAGUAUAUGAAUCAUAAAGCCCUGACAUCUAGGGAUAUAGUUGGAAUAAUUAUGUUAGAGGAAACCCUCAUCUGGCUUUGGGAAACAUGAUUGAUUUGCACAGCAACCUUUUUAAUACUCUUAACUUUACUUUUUCACAUCUUUGGGGUGAGAUGAUCUCUAAUCUUCAGCCAUUUUUUGGAUGGGGAGCUGUCUUGCCUCAGCCAUUUAGACUUCUUUUUGGUCUAGGAUAAUCACAUAUGCCUGACUACACAUUCCUGUCUGACCUUUUAAUUUACAGUUUUUAAUAAUGUCACUGAAAUGAGACCCAUGUUAUAAGAGUUAAGUCCUUAGUAAAUCUGACCUACUUUGGUAUGAGAGUGUUUAUACAAAUAUGUUUUAGUUAUUUUCUAGUGGACUCUGCUGGCCAGGUGGUGGCAAACCAGGAAGGCGUGUUCCGAAGCAAUUGCAUGGAUUGUCUAGAUAGAACCAAUGUGAUCCAGAGUUUGUUAGCUCGUCGUUCACUUCAGGCCCAACUUCAGAGACUAGGAGUUUUGCAUGUGGGACAAAAGCUUGAAGAACAAGAUGAAUUUGAGAAGAUUUAUAAAAAUGCCUGGGCUGACAACGCAAAUGCUUGUGCCAAGCAAUAUGCGGGAACUGGUGCCUUGAAGACUGACUUUACCAGAACUGGAAAGAGAACUCAUUUGGGACUUAUAAUGGAUGGCUGGAACUCAAUGAUACGAUAUUAUAAGAACAACUUUUCCGAUGGAUUUAGACAAGAUUCCAUAGACUUAUUUCUUGGAAACUAUUCAGUGGAUGAAUUAGAAUCUCAUAGUCCUUUAAGUGUUCCAAGGGAUUGGAAAUUCCUGGCUUUGCCUAUCAUCAUGGUUGUUGCCUUUUCAAUGUGCAUUAUCUGUUUGCUUAUGGCUGGUGACACUUGGACAGAAACACUGGCCUAUGUGCUCUUCUGGGGAGUUGCAAGCAUUGGAACAUUUUUUAUCAUUCUUUACAAUGGCAAAGAUUUUGUUGAUGCUCCCAGACUGGUCCAGAAAGAAAAGAUAGACUGAAUUUGUAUUUGUGGAAAGCGGCUUGGCUUGGAAGAUUCCAUUGUGCAGAACUGGAGUCUUUACUGACCCGCUUUCCACAUCAGCCCAAGGUCUUUUUAAUGCCUUUAUCCAAAAGCACAUCUUGUGCUCCAUGCAGGAUGAUGACAGAAUUGAUCUGAUGUUACUGCCUUGAUGGUCUCUUUACUAUUGGGACAGUUAGAUUUAUAAUUUGAAGCUAUUCUGUAAUUAAAAUAUAACCUGAAUUCAGCUUGCAGAAUGGAAGCUGAAUCUGUUCAUUGUAUUCUAUUGAUUGUCAAUUUAAUUAGCUGUUGCAGAAUAAGUAAUAUAUUUUAAAAACCUAGCUCCUUUCAUUAUUUAAAACAGCAAAAUUAUUUUUGUAGCUCAGUUUCAUUAUUGUCAUUGUAGAAGCGGUCACUAUUAGCAGGCAUACUUUUCCACACAUCUUUGGACUUUUCUUAAAAGUUCAGUAAUAAGCUAACUGUGUUUAUAAAAUGUAAGUCUCUUACAGACAUCAAGUAGUUUGAUGAGACAGUCUGUGACUUCAUGAUAGGAAAGAGGAGGAUGAGGUCUGGGGUUCUUUAAAGUCUCUGGUGGGCUGCCUCAUGACUUUAAUCAGCUUGAACUGCCAGUGCACCAGCAGUUUAGCUGUGAUGAGAGAAUUCAGAUAUACUUUAUCUUUUUAAAAAAGUGUAAAUAAAAUCAAAGAAUGUAAAGUCUAUCUCUUACGCUAGAGGUCCAAAACUGCCUCUGUUUUAAAGAUUAUCCCAAUGUGAAAGAUGCCCAUGACUGGUCAGCUACUUCCUCCUAUACAUUUUGGUUUCUUUGAGGGUCACUCAUUGAGACACGCAGGCCUCUGAGAGGGUCUUGUUCUAGAUUUCAUAUUGCACUUGGAGGGUAACAGCUGCUUUUUCUCGCAUGGUACUCUUGAUGUUUUUCACUCUGUCAAGGAUUUUGUUGACUAUCAAUGAAUGUGUCUAAAACUUAGUGCUUCCAGGUAGUUAUAGUACUCCAAAUCAAGGACCAACUUAAACGUUAAUUUUUGUGCAAAAACAAACCUGAAAAAUAUGCUUCGGAAACUGUGCAUAGUUCUAAUUGUAAGUCAGAUUGUAUAUUCAAAUUGUAAUUAAGAGAUUUAAAUAUUAGAACGGUAUGUAAGGUAGUAUAAUUACCACUAUUUUAAAACAAUUCAGUUAAACACUGCUGCAAUAUUUCAGUGUUGUGCUUGAAAAUAUGUACAGUUUUUUUCCAAUAUUAAUACCUUAUGUUGUCCUUAAAUAUUUCUAAAAGCGCCUUUAUUUCAGCAUUACCUUUUUUUCAUCAUUAUCUUUUAUAAAACAUUAAUAUAAGUCGUUACUUUUAGAAACUCUAAAGGAAAUAAUAGCUGGAAAACCCUCUGUAGUUUAAAAUCAGUCAUUAAACUCACAAUAGGGUAAGUAAAUAUAGCCACCUGUUAACAUGUAAAUAAGCAUAAUUUGUUCCAAAGAUGGAAUAUUGAAACUUAGUUCAUGUCUGCUGUAAAAUAUUAUUUAAAUGCUGCUGGGCAUUUCACUUAAAGAACUUAAUGUCAACAGCUACAACAAAGACCAAAUCUGAACUGCUAAUGUGGCUGCUUUGUGGGGAAUGGACUAAUAUCAGUGUGUUAGAUCUUAAGGUAUCAGUAUUUCAGAAUCCUGCGACGAUUUUAUUUCUAAAUUCAUGUACUGUAUGUCCAUAAGUGAAAAUAAAAUGUCAUAUUCUUUUCU